rnacentral:lncRNA from 1 species
CUCCGUUUUGCAGUUACGGUUCAGAUUGGGAGUCCCAGAAAUUAAAUCGGUCUCAGGAAAAAAGAUCCCAGAGAAGCAGAGAAAAUGAUUUAAACCAGAAUGGUUUGGAUUUCCUCUUGAUGUUGUAGCUAAGGGGAUUUUAAGGCCCUGCUGACCCUCGUUUGACUCUAGGCAGAGUUCCGGGAUUAUCCUCCAGUGCUGAGACAGGCCGUCUCCCUGGCCCGGCGCAUCCAGGACCCUCUGAUUGAAUUUGCCCAGGUGUGCAGUUCCGAUGAAGACAUCCUGUGUCUCAAGUUUCACCCCUUGCAGGAGCAUGUGGUGAAAGAGGAGCUGCUCAACGCCUUGUACUGUGAAUUUAUCAACCGAGUCAAUGAGGUCGGGGUCGAUGUCAACCGUGCCAUUGCCCACCCUUACAGCCAGGCCUUGAUCCAGUAUGUUUGUGGCCUGGGACCUCGGAAAGGGACCCACCUCCUGAAGAUCCUGAAGCAGAACAACACCCGGCUCGAGAGCCGGACCCAGCUGGUCACCAUGUGCCACAUGGGUCCCAAAGUCUUCAUGAAUUGUGCUGGCUUCCUCAAGAUCGACACGGCCUCCCUGGGGGACAGCACUGACUCAUAUAUUGAAGUCCUUGAUGGUUCCCGUGUCCACCCUGAGACUUAUGAGUGGGCUAGGAAGAUGG